UGCGUAGGCGGCGCGGAAAGUUGGGUGUGAAAUCCCUCGGCUUAACCGAGGAACUGCGCCCAAAACUACCGUGCUUGAGGGAGAUAGAGGUGAGCGGAACUUAGGGUGGAGCGGUGAAAUGCGUUGAUAUCCUAAGGAACACCGGUGGCGAAAGCGGCUCACUGGAUCUCUUCUGACGCUGAUGCACGAAAGCUAGGGUAGCGAACG
rnacentral:rRNA from 1 species